rnacentral:rRNA from 1 species
AUGGCCAAGACGACCACCUUACCAAUAUCAAAGGAGCCAGGGGUAAAGCAGCCUCUUUACAUCAUCAUAGCGCAGGGAGAAGGUUCCAAAUUCCACAUCCCGUUUCUCCAGGAAGAGUUUGCAUCUAACGCCAUAGCCCUGGCCGAUAGUCCCAUCGCCGUGGAGACAGCGGGAGUUGGUGUCUUGGCCCUCGACCAGAUGAACCUAGAGUCCAUCUUUCGACAACUCACGGAUCGGGAGUUGUGCAGUGUGCUGGUGGAUUUCCGAGAUGCCGGAGGUGUCCUGGCACCGCUGCUGAGCAAGUUUCAGGAGGACAAGCUGCUGAAAUUUGAGAUGGGCUCUAGGCCCAUAUAG